GCCGACCUCUUUCUUCUUGCUUAACACAUGCAAGUCGAACGGAAAGGCCCUGCUUUUGUGGGGUGCUCGAGUGGCGAACGGGUGAGUAACACGUGAGUAACCUGCCCUUGACUUUGGGAUAACUUCAGGAAACUGGGGCUAAUACCGGAUAGGAGCUCCUGCUGCAUGGUGGGGGUUGGAAAGUUUCGGCGGUUGGGGAUGGACUCGCGGCUUAUCAGCUUGUUGGUGGGGUAGUGGCUUACCAAGGCUUUGACGGGUAGCCGGCCUGAGAGGGUGACCGGCCACAUUGGGACUGAGAUACGGCCCAGACUCCUACGGGAGGCAGCAGUGGGGAAUAUUGCACAAUGGGCGGAAGCCUGAUGCAGCAACGCCGCGUGCGGGAUGACGGCCUUCGGGUUGUAAACCGCUUUCGCCUGUGACGAAGCGUGAGUGACGGUAAUGGGUAAAGAAGCACCGGCUAACUACGUG
rnacentral:rRNA from 1 species